GGAUGACGCCGGCUACCGGCUUACCACUCCAAGUCGAGGGGAAACGACGGGGAAGCUUGCUUCCCCGGGCGUCGACCGGCGCACGGGUGAGUAACGCGUAUCCAACCUGCCUCAGACUGAGGGAUAACCCGUCGAAAGUCGGCAUAAUACCUCAUGGCAUCGUCUGCGGGCAUCCAACGAAGAUUAAAGAUAUCAUCGGUCAAGGAUGGGGAUGCGUCUGAUUAGCUUGUUGGCGGGGUAACGGCCCACCAAGGCUACGAUCAGUAGGGGUUCUGAGAGGAAGGUCCCCCACAUUGGAACUGAGACACGGUCCAAACUCCUACGGGAGGCAGCAGUGAGGAAUAUUGGUCAAUGGGCGAGAGCCUGAACCAGCCAAGUAGCGUGCAGGAUGACGGCCCUAUGGGUUGUAAACUGCUUUUAUGCGGGGAUAAAGUGAGGGACGUGCCCUUCAUUGCAGGUACCGCAUGAAUAAGGACCGGCUAAUUCCGUGCCAACAGCCGCGGUAAUACGGAAGGUCCGGGCGUUAUCCGGAUUUAUUGGGUUUAAAGGGAGCGUAGGCCGUGGAUUAAGCGUGUUGUGAAAUGCAGGUGCUCAACGUCUGCACUGCAGCGCGAACUGGUCCACUUGAGUGUGCGCAACGCAGGCGGAAUUCGUCGUGUAGCGGUGAAAUGCUUAGAUAUGACGAAGAACUCCGAUUGCGAAGGCAGCUUGCGGGAGCACAACUGACGCUGAAGCUCGAAAGUGCGGGUAUCGAGCAGG
rnacentral:rRNA from 1 species